ACUGGCCUUUCUUCCUGACACCCUGUCCUGUCAGCUGCGGAAGUCCGAGAUGGCUGAGAUUCACUGGCCCUGUGACCCCUGAGCCAAGGAGUUUCUUAAGAGAUUGUAGGAGCUCUGGACUCAGACAAGCCUGAAGGAGACUUACUGGACCACCUCCAGACUUGAAGCAUGUCACAACUCUACUCCCUGAUAAGAGAGCAGUGCUGUCUUUACAUUCCUGACUGGCAGGAAAGGAAACUUCCGUGUCCUGUAGGAGGGUGUACUCUCCGGAGCCAAUUGGGGCUGUGUAUUUCAACUUGAAAAAAGACUGAUCGCCUGGCUGUGAUGUGUCCACUCUGAGAAUCAUAUAAAUGGAUUUACAGAUAUGUCCACUCUGGCUCACCAUAUCACAUGUGACUACAGAUGUGUUCAGUCAGGCUCACAGUCUCCCUUGGAUUACCGAUGUAUCCACUAUGCUCGCCAAAUAAAUGGGUUUACAAAUGUG
rnacentral:lncRNA from 1 species